UUUUCACUUCAAAGUGCCUGCUUUUCCCUGCCUGAAAAGCCUCCUGUUUGCUCCAGACCACCCGACCAAUUCCUGUGCAGUGGGAGCCACCAGGCAGUCUGAGCUCAGGUGACCAUAUCCUGGGGAGGGGAUUUCACUCCCUCCUGCUGGAGGGAUUUCUGCUUUACUCUUGGUUUGUGGUGCAGAGCCUUUGGUUUCAGUCCUCUUUUUCCCUUCAGUGGAGCAGGAACUGUGAGGAACAGAGGGAGGGGGCAGAUUUCUUUAACUGAAUCAUUGUUUUGUAUAGACAAUAGCAGCAUAAUAACACCUGAGAGGAAAGGAUUUUGAGUAGCAGAGCUUUAUAUCACGUGUGCACCUGCCAUCCUGAUCUCAAGCAGACUUCAAUUCCCUAAAGACUGUGGGUUGUUGCCCUGCUCUAAAUCACCCCGUUCUGCCUGCUUUGCUUUUAACAGUCUCUCACCUGCUUACAGCAUGUCCCUGUAAUUUGCUGUGCUCAUCAAUUUGGUGGGCUCUUUCUGCUGUGUUCACAAGAAAACAUGUUUCAGUGAGUUCAGCAGGGCCUUAAGGGUAAAACACUCAAGUGAAUACCCUUCCUAUCAGUAGUCCUGUGGAUUUGCUGUCUUCAGCCACUGUCAUGUCCUGUUCAUUCUUCAGGGUGCUGUUAUGCUAAAUCAACAGAGUUAUACAGAAAUACACCAGCAACAGGCCCACAGCCAUAUGCUACCCAGAAAAUAGCAGAGAGCAGCUGUGAAACAGGAAGAGCUGGUAAUGCUAACCUGAAGCUACUGGGUCAUUCUUUUGUCAUUCUGUGACUUGAGAAAUUAACUAAUUGAACAACAACUCCUUUGGGCUGAAUUUUGUGGUUUUCAUAAUUAAGACUUUUCUGUUUAAUAGGAGUUUUGACUUAGGAGCCCAAUCCUACAUCUUUACUUUUUUAGAGAGAGAGUGGAUUUGAAUCUUGAAACAGAAGCAGACAGAUUUCUCCUCAUUUCUCUCAGUCAGCUUUCAGCCAUAGUGAACUUUUACCACCAAAAUGUAGCUGGGGAGGUGGAUCAAAGGAGACUGCAGGAAGGAGCAGUUUGGGACACUGCUACUCAAAGAAAGCAAAAGCCUUCAAUCACCCAGCCAUGUGUUCCUUUCUCCGUUUGUCAUGGAUGACAUGGCACAUAUGUUCCUCUUCUCUACAGUGCACUAACUUUAAUAAUAUUACUUUAUAAUGAAAAUAUAUCAAGGGUUGUGGUAAUGAGACAUUUUCAGCUUGCUUGUUUAAUAGCUGGACUACUGUCCAACUCAACAGAGAAGGACAGGAAACUGAGUGUAGAAAGCCUUAUCCUCAAAUAAUCUUACAGAUGACAUCUGUGGCUAAGCAUCUAAGCAAAUGUAGGAAAGAAAGGGGACGUAUUGAGCAAGGUCUUGGGACUCACGAGGAUACAAACAGCCUUGACUGAAAACAUGCACAGCCAGCACCUUCCUACAUUCAUGGCACUUGCUUUAUAGCCUGCAGAGUGUAGGUGCUGAGAUCAGCUUCUUCCCACACAGAUUAUGAAGUUUGGAGAACAGAGACUCCUAGGGACAGGCCUUUGAAUUUCCAGUCCUACAAAAGGUCUUACGCCUUGUCAUUUGUCUUUUUGAGUUUCCAAACAGACAGCAAGAAGGAAAACCUAG
rnacentral:lncRNA from 1 species